rnacentral:rRNA from 1 species
UACGUAGGGAGCAAGCGUUGUUCGGAUUUACUGGGCGUAAAGGGCGCGUAGGCGGCAGAUCAAGUCAGUUGUGAAAUCUCUGAGCUUAACUCAGAACUGUCAACUGAUACUGUUUUGCUAGAGUGCGGAAGGGGCAAUCGGAAUUCUUGGUGUAGCGGUGAAAUGCGUAGAUAUCAAGAGGAACACCUGAGGUGAAGACGGGUUGUUGGGCCGACACUGACGCUGAGUGCGCGAAAGCCAGGGGAGCAAACGGG